GUGUCAGCAGCCGCGGUAAUACGUAGGGUGCGAGCGUUAAUCGGAAUUACUGGGCGUAAAGCGUGCGCAGGCGGUUGUGUAAGACAGGUGUGAAAUCCCCGGGCUCAACCUGGGAACUGCGCUUGUGACUGCACGGCUAGAGUACGGCAGAGGGGGGUGGAAUUCCUGGUGUAGCAGUGAAAUGCGUAGAUAUCAGGAGGAACAUCGAUGGCGAAGGCAGCCCCCUGGGCCGAUACUGACGCUCAUGCACGAAAGCGUGGGGAGCAAACAGGAUUAGAUACCCUCGUAGUCC
rnacentral:rRNA from 1 species